rnacentral:ribozyme from 13 species
UCAAUUUCUUCGUUCCAAAAUUCUUCAAUAUGUUCAUCUUGAUAAAAUCAUGGAGUUACAUGGGAGUGCAACAUCAGAAGAGAUGGCAAGAGAAACCCAACGACUUUUGACCAUUUUUGGUAUGACCAAACACUUGUUUUCUCCUGAUUCUAAACUUCCUUCUUUGAAGAGAAUUAAAAAAGGAUUAAGAAUAUUGG